CAGCCGCCGCGGUAAUACAGAGGGUGCGAGCGUUAAUCGGAUUUACUGGGCGUAAAGCGUGCGUAGGCGGCUUCUUAAGUCGGAUGUGAAAUCCCUGAGCUUAACUUAGGAAUUGCAUUCGAUACUGGGAAGCUAGAGUAUGGGAGAGGAUGGUAGAAUUACAGGUGUAGCGGUGAAAUGCGUAGAGAUCUGGAGGAAUACCGAUGGCGAAGGCAGCCAUCUGGCCUAAUACUGACGCUGAGGUACGAAAGCAUGGGGAGCAAACAGGAUUAGAUACCCCCGUAGUCCCUGUCUCUUAUAC
rnacentral:rRNA from 1 species